AUUGAACGCUGGCGGCAGGCCUAACACAUGCAAGUCGAACGGAGCGGCGGACGGGUGAGUAAUGCAUAGGAAUCUGCCUGGUAGUGGGGGAUCACGACUGGAAAGCGGAGCUAAUACCGCAUACUAUCAGAACAGCCUAUGUCGGAUUAGCUAGUUGGUGGGGUAAAGGCUUACCAAGGCGACGAUCCGUACCUGGUCUGAGAGGAUGAUCAGCCACACUGGAACUGAGACACGGUCCAGACUCCUACGGGAGGCAGCAGUGGGGAAUAUUGGACAAUGGGCGAAAGCCUGAUCCAGCCAUGCCGCGUGUGUGAAGAAGGUCUUCGGAUUGUAAAGCACUUUAAGUUGGGAGGCGGUACCAGCAGAAUAAGCACCGGCUAACUUCGUGCCAGCAGCCGCGGUAAUAC
rnacentral:rRNA from 1 species